UACGAGGGGGCAGCGUGUCUCGGAAUCACUGGGCGUAAAGGGCGCGUAGGCGGCCGAUCAAGUCAGAGGUGAAAGCCCAAGGCUCAACCUUGGAAUUGCCUUUGAUACUGUUCGGCUCGAGACCGGAAGAGGUUAGUGGAACUGCGAGUGUAGAGGUGAAAUUCGUAGAUAUUCGCAAGAACACCAGUGGCGAAGGCGGCUAACUGGUCCGGUUCUGACGCUGAGGCGCGAAAGCGUGGGGAGCAAACAGG
rnacentral:rRNA from 1 species